rnacentral:rRNA from 1 species
AGUGAACGCUGGCGGCAGGCCUAACACAUGCAAGUCGAGCGGCAGCGCGGGGGCAACCCUGGCGGCGAGCGGCGGACGGGUGAGGAAUUCGUCGGAAUCUGCCUUUUUGUGGGGGAUAACGCAGGGAAACUUACGCUAAUACCGCAUACGUCCUACGGGAGAAAGUGGGGGACCGCAAGGCCUCACGCAGAAAGAUGAGCCGACGACCGAUUAGCUAGUUGGUGGGGUAAAGGCCCACCAAGGCGACGAUCGGUAGCUGGUCUGAGAGGAUGAGCAGCCACACUGGGACUGGGACACGGCCCAGACUCCUACGGGAGGCAGCAGUGGGGAAUAUUGGACAAUGGGCGCAAGCCUGAUCCAGCCAUGCCGCGUGUGUGAAGAAGGCCUUCGGGUUGUAAAGCACUUUUGUCCGGAAAGAAAUCCCUGGAGCUAAUACCUUCGGGGGAUGACGGUACCGGAAGAAUAAGCACCGGCUAACUUCGUG